UGUCAUCCAGAUGUUCAGAGGGAGAUGAUGCCACAUCUGGUCCAGCUGAUGGAAGGUCUUGAAGUUCUCUGACUGGCCUCGACUGAAGAUGGUCGUCUCACUGGAUUUAAGGUUCAGAUGCUCAGUAACAAACUCCACCAAUGAGCCAACAGGGAAGCUUUAGGUUUAUUAAAUGUUGCUAUGAAGGUUUCGCUGUUUUUCUUGGUGAAUGCAAUGUGCUCCAACUAAAACCUGAAUUAGAACUUAGAAGUAAAUCCUUCCAUCUGAAAGGAUUUAGUUGCAUUAAUAACCUCAUAACAUUUUAAUUUUUAUUCCAGUCUUGGUUGGAAAUAGAAUCUCUGUAUUGAUUCAGGUAAAAACUGAACUUCACAGCAUAUUGGAGCAAAACAACCAGAUGAAAACUGUGAUGGUGUUGGAUUGUCAGACUGUAAUGUUGCAGCUCAAAGCAGCUUUUCUAGCUCAGUUCAUUCUGACAUUCAGCUAUGAAUCAACACAGCAGAUGGUGAUCCAUGCUGUGGAAGUCUCACAUCUCCUGAUUUAAUGGAGCUGCUUUGCACUUUUUACACUGUUUAUUCACCAACACUUUAUUUAAUAAAAGUCCCAUCUAGUUUUUAUGAGGAAUGUGAUGUUUUAAUUUCUCUGUGAAUAACUGCAGUCUAAUGCAACAGCUGGAGUUGUAACAUCUGUCCUGAUAUUGAUCAUGAAGUAUUGAUCAGAAUACUUAUGGUUAGCAGUCAUCCCUGAAGUUUUACAUUAAAAUUUUUACUUGUGUUGUGAACUUUGGUAAGAAGCAGAAACUUUAGCGUUGCCAUGGAUACAUGAGUGUUAAAUUCUGUCCAUGUUUCCAUUUUGGGAAAUUCAGUCCAGCAGAUGAAUUUGUUUUUACUGCCAGCUACCAUUCAGUCUGAGAUAUUAAGAAUAAAUAAAUGUGCACAAUGUGGAAAUGAACAGGUUUUAUUUUUAUUUAUUCCUACAGCUGCUGCUUAUAAAGAUCCAGAAUGUGGAGGAAUUUAGUCUCACAAUCACGGACAAUAAAUAUUAUCUGAAAGUCGGGUUAUUGUUGUUUAUCAGCACAAUACAAAAAGAUUCAUGUUAGAAAUAUUCCAGUUAAGACUCUAGAAUGUCAUGAUUUAUAUAAAUUUACCUCAAGAAUAUAAAUGUUCAGGUUAAGUUUGUGCAGUGAUAUUUAUUAUGUAAGUUUAGCUGAUUAAAGUUUAUGACUCUGCACUAAAAUAUUAUUUAAACUUACAUCGUUAUUAUUAUAUUUAGGGUCAGACCCUACAGUAUUGAGAUUAAGAAGUCAAAUAUUCUAUAAAAUGUAAAUACACUGAACUCAUUUGGAUAUAUUUUAGUGAGACUCUACAAUAUUAUUUGACACAAAUCUAUCUAAAUCAAAAUUGUAAUCAUUUUUACUCCAAACAUUUACUGGACUGAUUUAAAUAUUAAAAUCACUCCUUUCUAAUCCUCUGCUGUACAUUCAAACCUGAGGCCUUAAAUAGAAACACACAAGUAUCUGAUUGAAGGAACUUCUGCAGAGUCCUGGUUCCAGAACAUGAUGAUAGAAUUAUAGACAAACUUUAACAAAAGCUGCCUGAGAGUUUACGGGUUUUUAUGUUGGAUUUCUUCAGUAAUUUAAUGAGAGUUAUCAGCAAAAAUCAAGUGUUCAUUUGAUGACCUUGAUUUCCUAAAACAUCCAGAAUUGGAGCUCAUAUCUUUGGCAGCUGUAAAGUUUCUGCUCCUUCAAAGUUCACAACACAAUGAAUGAAUUCCUAAAACACUCAAUGCUGGAGAGCUUUUGUGAUGCUGAAGCAGUGACCAGUUUUUCUGUUUCUUCUCUGGAGAUGCACAAUGAGGGACGUCUGCAGAGACUGAGAAAGAGUCUCACCACAUCCUGACAUGAGGAAAAAGACUUUAUUGAAGUCUACAAUGAGAAAAACUAUCAGACAGCAGACGGCUGCAUUCAAGUCUGUAGCUGCUGAAUUCAUGGAUGAAUCAUCUGGCACUAGAGAGGAAGACCAUCAAACAUCCACGUCAGCUGAUGGAGGUCCAAGAGUCUCACCCAACAAACAACCUACAGAGUGAAGACCUCGAACCUGAUUGGACGGCCUCCUAUUCAGCCACAUUUUAGGCUGUUAGAUUGUUCCAGAUAAGUACAAGAUUCUUCAGAGCCGUUCUACCACGAGCCUUACAGGAAGAACUCCAACAGCUACUGAAUGUUCCUGUGGUUCCCUCAAGGCUACAGGAGGAGUCCUACGAGGACGAGCCGGUCCACCUGAUGGAGGCCAGUCGCUGUGGUUCAAAGCCAACACCGACUACGUGGACUUCUACUGGACCACACAGAGGCCUUCAAACCAGACCAACAAGUUCAGCGACUCCCCGACUCGUGGGUCUGAGGACGCCGCCGAGCCUCGGUCCAGCCGGCCUCCUGUCUGUGGGUGUUUGAGUGCUGAGAGGUUUGUGGAUGCAUGUGAACGUGUCUGUGUUGAAACAGCAGCUUUUGACUCAGUAACGCUGGGAAAAACCAAGAGCUCCUUUAUUUGUGACUUCCACUAAAAAACUGAUGAAAAUAAGUUUGUCAGGGUUC